GAGCUCAGAUAGACAAGGUUAAUAGCUGUGGCGGAGCUUGAAGAGAGCGUAAAAAAACGAAGAAAUUUUUUAGUUUGAAAAAUGACCGGAAACACACUACCUUAAUUGAAUACACACAGGUAUUCCACUACACUAACCCACUAGACUCCACCAUUCUAGCAGAUUACACUAUGUAUAUAUACUAAGGUAAUCACACACCUGAAUCUUACAAACAAACCAACAACUUUGGGUACAUACACACAGGAAACACGAUAAAAUAUUAUAACGUAAACAGAUUUUAUGUUAAGCUAGGUUCACACUGCCAAUCAGAUCAACUCGAUGAUUCCGAUAGUCCAAAUUUCCACGACCAAGCGUAGCCAAAUUCUUGAUCGGGCCUUUUUACGACUUCUACCCGACUUCUACCCGACUGCUAUAUCCGACUGUACUCAACCUUAACCCGAUCAUUCACGACUCCUUAACGACUCUGUCGCACGACUCAAACCAGACUACUUAUUGAAUACAUAUUCGAUGAUUCCGACGAAUACACGAUCUCUACACGAUCUUUACACCACUAGCAAGACCAAAUCAACUAUACUCGAUCUCAACAAGAUCUCAGCCAGACCAGAUCGACUUGAUCGUAUAGGGGUCGUAAGGAUAGUCGGAUAUUGGUCGGGUUUGUACAAUUUCAGUAUAAAAACAUCUGAUUUUUUUAUAUCACCCGCUGCAGCGGAAAGAGGCAUCAAAUUGUUACCCUUGUCCGUCCUUAAAUAUGUAUUCGUACGUCCCAUCAAUUAGUUUCCGCUCUCAAACACAGAUCAAGUGCGAAUUUUCGUGGGGUCACUUUUAUCGUUCUUGAGUAAUGACUCUUUAUAACGUUAUAUUUAAACUGGGUCAUUAUUUGUGUCAAAUGGACACGUUCUCCGUUUAUUUGGUUAAAUUCAGUAGUUCACAGAAGGUCUGAGUAAAAUUAUACAUGUAAUAAAAUUAACGGUACCAAUUUUCUUGCACCAGAUGCGCAUUUCGACAAUACAAAAUAUCUACAUUGAAAUAAAUCAGUUGGAUUGUUUAGCAAGAUAGUUAGCGCUCAGAUAGACAAGGUUAAUAGCUGUGGCGGAGCUUGAAGAGAGCGUAAAAAACGAAGACAUUUUUUAGUUUGAAAAAUGACCGGAAACACACUACCUUAAUUGAAUACACACAGGUAUUCCACUACACUAACCCACUAGACUCCACCAUUCUAGCAGAUUACACUAUGUAUAUAUACUAAGGUAAUCACACACCUGAAUCUUACAAACAAACCAACAACUUUGGGUACAUACACACAGGAAACACGAUAAAAUAUUAUAACGUAAACACAUUUUAUGUUAAGCUAGGUUCACACUGCCGAUCA
rnacentral:lncRNA from 1 species